UGUAUCCUACGGGGGGCAGCAGUGAGGAAUAUUGGUCAAUGGGAGAGAUCCUGAACCAGCCAAGCCGCGUGAGGGAAGACGGCCCUAUGGGUUGUAAACCUCUUUUGUCGGAGAACAAAACCCGGGACGUGUCCCGGACUGCGUGUAUCCGAAGAAAAAGCAUCGGCUAACUCCGUGCCAGCAGCCGCGGUAAUACGGAGGAUGCGAGCGUUAUCCGGAUUUAUUGGGUUUAAAGGGUGCGUAGGCGGACGCUUAAUUCAGCGGUAAAAUUGCGGGGCUCAACCUCGUCGAGCCGUUGAAACUGG
rnacentral:rRNA from 1 species